rnacentral:antisense_RNA from 1 species
UUCAAUGGGCGGGCCUGGGCGGGGAGACCUUCGGGUCUGCCGGUUACCUUGUACGCCGGUUCGCCAACCCUGCUCAGUGCCCGCUCACCCCG